AAGGGAUAUUGGGCAAUGGGGGCAACCCUGACCCAGCCAUGCCGCGUGAGGGAAGGAGGCCCUAUGGGUCGUGAACCUCUUUUGCGGGGGGAUAAGGGCGUCCGCGUGACGGGCGCUUGCAGGUACCCCGCGAAUAAGCAUCGGCUAACUCCGUGCCAGCAGCCGCGGUAAUACGGAGGAUGCGAGCGUUAUCCGGAUUCAUUGGGUUUAAAGGGUGCGCAGGCGGCCUGUUAAGUCAGCGGUGAAAUGCAGGGGCUCAACCCCGGCAGUGCCGAUGAUACUGACGGGCUGGAAUGCGGUCGAGGCGGGCGGAAUGUGGCGUGUAGCGGUGAAAUGCGUAGAUAUGCCACAGAACGCCGUUAGCGAAGGCGGCUCGCCAGGCCUGCAUUGACGCUCGGGCACGAAAGCGUGGGGAUCAAAC
rnacentral:rRNA from 1 species